ACGGUUGCAAAGAGAGAUAACUAGCAAUAGGAAGGUAGAUAGUAGCCGAGGGGCGAAUAGCGGUGAGGAGGAAUACAUUUCAUGGACAAAGGAAAGAUCAAGGAUGAAAGAAACUAUUUAAAAAUAAAUAAAUAAUUAUUUUUUUAAAAAAAAUAUGUGAGUUAGUUUUAGAUUUGACCCGAUCCAUAAUAGCAAGUUGGGUUCAAUUAAGUCGGAAC
rnacentral:lncRNA from 1 species